rnacentral:rRNA from 1 species
UGGUGCCAGCAGCCGCGGUAAUUCCAGCUCCAAUAGCGUAUAUUAAAGUUGUUGCAGUUAAAAAGCUUGUAGUUGGAUUUCUGUUAAUAAUUUAUAUAAAAUAUUUUGAUGAAUAUUUAUAUAAUAUUAACAUAAUUCAUAUUACUAUUUUUUUUUUAGUAUAUGAAAUUUUACUUUGAGAAAAUUAGAGUGCUUAAAGCAGGCAUAUGCCUUGAAUACUCCAGCAUGGAAUAAUAUUAAAGAUUUUUAUCUUUUUUAUUGGUUCUAAGAUAAGAAUAAUGAUUAAUAGGGACAGUUGGGGGCAUUUGUAUUUAACAGUCAGAGGUGAAAUUCUUAGAUUUGUUAAAGACAAACUAAUGCGAAAGCAUUUGCCAAGGAUGUUUUCAUUAAUCAAGAACGAAAGUUAGGGGAU